rnacentral:lncRNA from 1 species
AAAAGGACUCCUUUUAAAUAAGGGAUGUUGUCUGCCUGCAUAUUAGAUAAUUUAGAUGGCAUAGGGCAACAUUCAUACAGAGAUACAAACGGCAGUCGGCAGUUAUAGACAGAUAGACGGAAUGACGGCCGACAAUUGGAAUGGAAAAACUGUACGGUGCAAUUAGAGAAGAAAAUCUUCCAGAUUUCUAUACAGAAUUCCAACGGAGAAGUCGAUUUUCGUGCAAUACCGUAGCAAUCUGGGAGGAGGAGUGGAUCCAGCUCGUGAAACACAUCUAUCGGGCAAAGCUAUUUGUUGUUGGCGUUUGCAGAGAAGGGUAUUUCGUCUCUUUUUAGUUUCUGUUUGAUUUUCUCAAGUAAUUGGUGUUGCUUCCAUUUUGUCGACAAGCUUCAACUAAGGUACUCCAUCUCGCACUGUUGUGUAGAUAGUAUAUGUGAUUCUUGCAAACAUUUUUGCUUCUAAAUUAUUAUUUGAUUUUUUAUUAAUUGAGUUAUUGUUGGGAAUUGAAUUCUUGAGUUCCUGAGGUUUCAGGGAAUUGAAUUCUUGAGGUUUCGGGAAAAUAAUGAAUUCUCCCUAACAUAUGAAGAAAGCAAAAGUCGUCCUAUAGUAGUAAAUAAUAGUUAGAUUUCAACUGGAGACUAAUUUUACCAAUAGAAACCCGAAGAAGAAAACCAGACGCUAUGCAUUAACCAUUGCUUUUUUUGCCUUACUACAACCAGUGUACUGGGCUAGUUAGAUUCUGAACACUGGCUAAUUUAGAAGUUGAAUGGCAAAUUGAAAACAAGAGUGAAACGUAUCUCAAUAUUCAACAUGCAGAAACAGAAAGAGUUUCAAGGAAGCUUUUUAUUUGUUUAAUUCAUUGUAUAAAUACAUAGACGUACAAGUUAGAUUUUGAUUCUUAUACUGUAUAGCAGUAAUGUCCUUUUGUUAUUGUUUUCAAAUGUGUUGAAAGGAAAAUUAGUAAUAGUAGUGAGGUUUACAUUAUUAACAAAUUGAGAUAUGAGGUGCAUCUAUUAAUAUAUGUUGAAAUAUUGCAACUGUCCAAUAACAUAUGUAAACAUUUUACUUACACAUUUACAGAAAACAUUGAUUCUGAUCUAACACACGAUGUAAUAAUGUUCUGUCAACAGAGAAAAAUGAGUUGUCA